rnacentral:tRNA from 1 species
AAAACUUUAAGUUAAAUAAUUUAAACUAAUAAUUUUCAAAAUUAUAUAUAAAAUAAUAAAUUUUUAAGUUUUA